rnacentral:rRNA from 1 species
AACGAACGCUGGCGGCAGGCUUAACACAUGCAAGUCGAGCGCAUCCUUCGGGGUGAGCGGCGGACGGGUGAGUAACGCGUGGGAACGUGCCCUCUUCUACGGAAUAGCCUCGGGAAACUGAGAGUAAUGCCGUAUACGCCCGCAAGGGGAAAGAUUUAUCGGAGGAGGAUCGGCCCUCGUUGGAUUAGGUAGUUGGUGGGGUAACGGCCUACCAAGCCGACGAUCCAUAGCUGGUUUGAGAGGAUGAUCAGCCACACUGGGACUGAGACACGGCCCAGACUCCUACGGGAGGCAGCAGUGGGGAAUCUUGGACAAUGGGGGCAACCCUGAUCCAGCCAUGCCGCGUGAUCGAUGAAGGCCUUAGGGUUGUAAAGAUCUUUCAGCUGGGAAGAUAAUGACGGUACCAGCAGAAGAAGCCCCGGCUAACUCCGUG